UUAAAUUCCCAGGGCCUUGGCUGUUACAAUUCAUCUUUCUGCUCUUGGAGUGCGGACUAUUGAUUGGCUGAGCCUGCUGCUGACGUCAUAGAAAGGCAGCCAAUCCUCGCAGGCCUCUGCCUGUCUCUCGGCCGCAAACAGCUGAAGUAGUAACAAACAGGAACGCCCGGGUAGAGCCUGGCUGCAGCCUGCUGUCGGCUUUCUAGAGCAAAGCCAGGAGGAGCACGGGGACUCAAGGCUGAAUGACAGAUCAGGGGCCUCCUGGGGCCUGUACGUUGGCCCCCACGUGGAGCGUUGGCCAAGUCUCCCUUCCAUCCAGGUUCAUUCUUCUCUGAGUCUCUGGCUUUGGAAACCAACAUAGAAGGUUCUGGGGCGUGGGAAAGGAAGAAACCAGGGGGAAGGGAACAGAACUGUUGGCGAUUGCCUUACCUCCACCACUUGCGGUGAUGACUCUGGAUAAUCCUUUCCUUCCCCUGCCCUCAGGGCUGCCUACCAAAAAAGGAAGCCAGCUUUGACUCUAAGGGAUUUAUCAGUACUCACAAAUAUGCUUAAAAAUGACAUUUUUAUUUUCCAAAGCAGCUGCCCCGAAUUCAGAAUAGUCAGGUCAAGAGACAGAACUUUCUGGCAGUCAGGAAGCCAUCUGCAUGCCUCCUUGUGAUCACAGUCCUUCCCCUCCUCAUCAAAGACCUUGAGAUGUAAUUAUUACAGCUUCAAAUGUCCCUAGUGAUAUUAAUUAGAUAAUCAAAUUUGGAUCACAGGAAUGAACACCCUAACGUGUGCCUUCAUUACUGCUCUCAAAAUAAUUCACUGAAGAUAAUUCUGCCAUGCCCCACCCACAAAUCUGUCAUUAGACCACGGACAUAGUCAGCCAAUUUUGCAAGAAUGCUCAACAUGGUCAAGUUGAUUCUCAAAACAAAGAAUGUCAUGUUUGAACACAACAGUUGGACUCAUCAACACUUUUUCUUUCUUGUGGAUGCCCUGAGAGACGGUGCUGGGAUUGGAAACCUCAUUCAGUCUUGGUGCCCACGCUCAGGUCCUUCUCAGAUGCAGAGUCAACUGGAUGUGUUAAGUGUCUUAUCUCCUUACAUUCCUCUAGAGCAAUCCAUUCUUCAGGCAUUGGAAUUCCCAUGAUGUUCCAUGGGCACCUUAUAAUGUCAAAGUGAAAAAAAGUCUGAGAAAGGCUAGGUGUGGACCUCUGGGCUGCCAUAUAGGUUUGUGCGGCUCUCUGGAGGACUUGGAACCCAUAAAUAAGUGGAUCGCACUCCUUUUAACCUUUAAGAGUUAUCGUAGGGCCAAUGUCAACCUUGAAGCAUCAUAACUAGAGCUCGGAGGGCGACCUGGAGUAGCAAGUUUUAAAGCAUCAGCCCUGAGACCUGACAUGUGAGAGGAUUUUCCCGCACUCGGAACAGCAGCGGAUGCCACAGUACGGAGCUGCAAACGGGGAGCAAAUCCACUCAAUCCCUACUCGGAGCCCUUCCUGUUUUGUCAGCCAGCAUGGUUUCCUAAAUCUCAAAUUACAGCAGAACUGUUCUGCAAUUCCAUGCCUAGCUAUUUCGGGAGCCUAACACAGCAGGACAAAUGUGCACAAGUCCACACAGUAUGACAGAAGAAUUAAAAAUGUAUUUACCAUC